AGGCAGCAGCAGCAACAAUGGUGACAAUAGUGGAGUGAUGGUGAUGGUAGCGAGGAUAGUAAUGUAAAGCAGUGUGGUGGGAUUAACUAUGGGGGUGGGCAGUUUUGGGGUUGAUAGUAGAGGCAGAAGUCAUGGGAGCGACAACGAUGACAAUUUAUAAUAGCAGUAGCAGUAUCAAUGUCGGUGCGUUGGCAACGAUGGGUUGGUGGGUAGAUAAGUGCUUAUUUACCUCUCUGGGUUAAUUGUUUUACCUAGGCAGGUAAUGUUUCUAUUAUGGAGUGAAAAAUACUUUCUACUUCAAGGUUGAAUACUGGAUCCUACCCAUGAAAAAUUUCUUAAGUAAACAUUUGGUUAGUGGAUAAGAGAUCUUACCCACCCUUUGGCCUUACCUAACCUUACUCUAUUCUUGCAACUUAUCAUAUUAAAUAUUGAGCAAUAUGUUUAAUAAUAAAGUUGGAUUAUUUUUUAUGAACAUUAACGCUAAAUAUAUAAAUUAAGACUCAAUUUUUUUCAAAAAGCAUAAUUUUGCACUUGAGCAUUUGGUUUUGCAAUUCUUUUUUCCAAUCCAAACGAUGUUUUGAGAUCAAUGCGAUAAUAUAAGACUAAGUUUGGUACGUCGGAUAAAGUAAGAUAAGGUGUAGAUAAGGCUCCUUUGUCCUAUCUAAUAAUUGGAAGUAUUUAAUAGGUAUGAUAAAUCACUACGUAUCGUAGGGUGAGUAGUGUUAUUUGCCUAAAGAGAUGUGAAAAAGCAUUAUCCAUCUAGGUAGUGCUUUAAAAAAGAGUAAAAUUACUCUUUAUAAUUUUUUUUCCUUCUACAUUUAUCAUUUAACGAGAAUACCUCAAUCACCACCCCUUACUGCUACAACUAGUGCUACCCUUAUUACCAUUGUCACUAAAACCACCACUCUCGCUGCUGUUGUUAUUACUCACCACCAUCAGUGCGACCAUAUUGUAUUGUCGUCAUAGCCACCUUUAUGUUCAACCUCACCACCAUUGCAACCAUCAUUUCACCACCACUAUUUUCACCCUAGGACCACCUUUGGCAUUGUUGAUUUUUCUAUUUUCACCAUCACUGCCAUUGCACAUGCCACCACCACUUCUGUUGUCAUGUUGACUACGCCUAUUGCUACCAUUACCACUCUUUUACCAUCACCACCGUCCUUACCAUUGUCUUUGCUACCACUGCCAACGUCACUUUCAUCAUU
rnacentral:lncRNA from 1 species